CCCUUAGAUGUUCUGGGCAGCACGCGCGCUACAAUGGUCUUCGCAAACGGAUGCAUUCUCGAAGGAGAAUGCCAAUCUUGGAAUCUAUGCCUUGGUCGGGACAGUUGCUUGCAAUUUUUCGACUCGAACCAGGAAUUCCUUGUAAUCGUGAUUCAUCACAUCACGAUGAAUACGUCCCUGCCCUCUGUACACACCGCCCGUCGCUCCUACCGAUUGAGGAGUUAGGUGAAUUGUUUUGAUCGAUAAGAUUUGACUAUGGUCAACUCUCGUUGUGAAAUUCUGUGAAUCUGACUGUUUAGAGGAAGGAAAAGUCGUAACA
rnacentral:rRNA from 1 species